UAUUAUGGGAAAUGCAGUUCAGACAGUGACAAAAGUCCAUGUUGGAGUGCCCUCUGGUGGCUAAACAGGGCACUCCAACUCAUGAUCAUGACAGUACCCCCUCCUUACGGAGUGGCUACCAGACGCUCCAUGACACAAAAACAAAAAAACACAACUCUCAGGAGGGAGGUGGACUGGAGUAGGACCAGGGGGAGGGUUGGCGGGCCAAGUCCGGGGUCCCGACCGAUACCAGGGCGGUGCUGGCGGAACUGACCAGGCGGGUUACAGAGGGUCUGGAGUCCUGGCUGAUUGCCAGGGCGGCACUGGAGGAACUGACCAGGCAGGUUCCCGAGGGUCUGGAGUCCUGGCAUCUGUCACGGGUGCACACAGAAACAAGAUGUUUGAGUGAUUGUGGUGUCACAGACAAAGAUUGUGCUGCUCUGACUUCAGUUCUGAGAUCAAACCCCUCAAACCUGAGAGAACUGGAUCUGUCUUGUAAAAAAAAAUAAGAUAUUCAGGUGUAAAGCUUCUCUCUACUGUACUGGAGCAUCCUCAAUGUAAACUGGACACACUGAGGUUGUGUGAUUGUGGCGUCACAGAUGAAGGUUGUGCUGCUCUGGUUUCAGCUCUGAGAUCAAACCCCUCACACCUGAGAGUACUGAAUCUGGAUCUGAAUAAAAUAGAAAAAUCAGUGUCUCUUCUCUCUGAUGUACUACAGGAUCCUCACUGUAAACUGGAAACACUGUGGUUGAGUGAUUGUGGAGUCACAGAUGAAGGUUGUGCUGCUCUGACUUCAGAUCAAACCCCUCACACCUGAGAUUACUGGAUUUAUCUGGGAAUAAAAUAGGAAAAUCAGUGAAUCUGCUGUCUGAUGUACUACAGGAUCCUCACUGUAAACUGGAGAAACUGUGGUUGAUGGAUUGUGGAGUCACAGAUGAAGGUUGUGCUGCUCUGACUUCAGCUCUGAGAUCAAACCCCUCACAUCUGGGAUAUCUGGAUCUGUCUAGGAAUAAUCUAGGACAAUCAGGAGUGAAGUUGCUCUCUGAUCUGAAGGAUGAUCCAAAUAAUAAACUGAAGGAACUAUACUAUUGACUCUCAGUAUUUAGACGUCAGUCCAGUUUCCUCAGGAUCAGUUGAUGGUGAAUAAGGAGCUACAGAGACUGAAGACACAGAGACACACAGCGAUCACACUGACAUGAGUGUGUGACUUCAGUUUCUCAUUUUAUAGUAAUGCUCAUGAAAAUGAGUGAUGAAAACAGCAAUUUUCAGUUCUCGCUUGACAUUGAUUACAAUGUAGAUGGUGUAACACUUAAUUUACACUGCAAACAAGUAAUGCAAAGUGACAAAACUGAAUCAGUCCUAUUUUCAUCAACAAGCCAUAGACAUACUGUAAAUAAGAUGACAUUUUUUCACCUUGAGUAAUUUUAAGAAGAGUUUUCCUUUGAGAAAAUCAAGAGUCUGACUAAGAAGAGAGAGAUGCUAUAAAUGUGUCUACCAGCAAAAAGCAACAUAUUAUGCAAAUCAUUUCACUGAACAUGUAUGUCUGUAAAAAAAAUUAAAAAAUAAAAUAAAAUUACCCACUCUUGUACAUGAUGAUCUAUUAAAGAUUCCAUAUAAAUCUUAA